UGGGGAAUUUUGGACAAUGGGCGAAAGCCUGAUCCAGCAAUGCCGCGUGUGUGAAGAAGGCCUUCGGGUUGUAAAGCACUUUUGUCCGGAAAGAAAUCCUCUGGGUUAAUACCUCGGGGGGAUGACGGUACCGGAAGAAUAAGCACCGGCUAACUACGUGCCAGCAGCCGCGGUAAUACGUAGGGUGCAAGCGUUAAUCGGAAUUACUGGGCGUAAAGCGUGCGCAGGCGGUUUUGUAAGACGGAUGUGAAAUCCCCGGGCUUAACCUGGGAACUGCAUUCGUGACUGCAAGGCUAGAGUAUGGCAGAGGGGGGUAGAAUUCCACGUGUAGCAGUGAAAUGCGUAGAGAUGUGGAGGAAUACCGAUGGCGAAGGCAGCCCCCUGGGCCAAUACUGACGCUCAUGCACGAAAGCGUGGGGAGCAAACAGGAUUAGAUAACCCCUGGUAGUCCACGCCCUAAACGAUGUCAACUAGUUGUUGGGGAUUCAUUUCCUUAGUAACGUAG
rnacentral:rRNA from 1 species